GGCAAAACUCUUUCAACCAAGUCUCUUUAUUUGCUCAGGAAUUCGUAUUGCGUAGUGUAUAACCUGAUUGCAUUUGAAAAGGACAAAGCAAAGGAAUAGUGCUAUAUAUGCUCUAUUUUAUAUUCUGUAAUAUUGGAAUGGUUUUGGCCUAAGGUUGGCCCAGUUAUGCUUGUGCUUUAGGGCUAUCAUAGUUUCAUUGUUUCCAAUGGCUAUUACAAAAUUCUAUUAUUUGCAACUGUUAUGCAAAACCUGGCUCAGUGUUUGUGACUGUGAACACCUACACAAGCUUGGCAGUGCAUAUGGAAAUACUUGCCUAGCAUAGUUGCCUAUCCAUUCUUGUUGAUCCAGCUGCUUCAAUUUGGAAAUAUAAAAUUUCAAUAAUUUUUGUAGGAAGAAAAACUUAUGUGUAAAAACCUUUGGUGGUGGUGGGUGGUGUUAUAAUAGAAAAUCCACUUGAGUUUGUAAUCCUCGUAUUAUCAUUACUGUUGAAUGUGUAUGGCCCUGGUAUCAA
rnacentral:misc_RNA from 1 species